AUGGUGCUGGAAGGGAGCAGAGCCCGCCAGCACAUCCCCGUUCUCCCAUGGGUGGGGUCUGGGAGCAGGGACCCACCACGUUGGGUGCCAGCACCUCAGCCCCCCCCCCCCCGGCACAGCCCCGUAGGGCUGCAACCCUUCAGCGCUGUGGUUAGGGGGAAUGCAGCCCUGGGUGUUGCGGUGGGACGUGUGGUUUUCCUGGAGGGACCCCGAGAAGUGCCUCGUGGUGGCUUUGUCCCCACGUGGAGGGCAGGGUCCCCCCCGGCCCGGGGUGCUGCUCCCAGCUCCGGUCCCGCGCUGUGCGUGCUCACACCAGGGGUGAUGUCUGUCCUCACCCCCACCCCAGCGGUGCUGUUACCCACUGGGGCGCAAAGGGGGAACUCUGGAGAGCGCUCGGGUUCAUUUACAACAAUAAAAAAAAAAAAAGAAGGCAAGGCAAGGAAACCCAUCUGCAAUCUCAGCUCACCCCGCAGGGCCCAGCCUCUCCCCUCGCAGGGCGCAGCUGCGCACCCACCCCCUGCCACCCCCCGGUGCCUGUCCCUCCUGCACCCACGCGGGGCCACCAAGGAAAGCCCCAGUGCGGCCCCCCACCCCCCUCACCCCCUGCCUGCCAGGCACCCAGGGCUGGUCCCCGUGUCCCCGUGUCCCCAUCUCAGCCUGCGCCCAUUGUCCUGCCCUUCCUCCCGCCCGCCCCGGGGCCGGGGGAAAACAGGAAGCUCUCCCCAGCAUGCGGCUGCGGAAAUGAGACAAACGGGCUGGAGCGGCCGCGAGGACGGCGGGCGGAAGCGGACAGGAUAUUUGGAACGGCCGGCGAAUUCUUGGGCUUAUCUCUGCGCCGCAGAGGCCCAGGAGUCCUUACAAAACAGCGCCCAGCUGGAGCGAGGCCCGCGGCCGGCACCGGGGCUGGGGCUGCGUCCUCGUCCCGUGGCACCGCGCGUCGUGGCGGGGUGCUGGCGGCAAGGAGGGGACGCCCCCGGCAUGGGGAGGGAUGGGGGCAGUGGGAGGGAUGGGGGCUGCGGGAGCCCCGCUCCUGGCUCUGCAAUGCGUGCCCUUGGAGCGGGCGUUGGGUGCCCCCGGUGA
rnacentral:lncRNA from 1 species